UCUUUAGUUGAACUGAAAGAGUUUUGGGGUAAGUUGCAUGAUCAUGUAUUUGCUAUGAGGAAAGUGCACGCACAUAAACAAGCUACCACCACACAGGUGUUGUGCAGUACAUUGAUAAGGAUCAAGUGAUUGGUCAUGAGGUAAUACUUAUAAUUUGGGAAAAAUAUAGGUGAAGAUGUGGAAUUGGGUAACAACUGUGUAAGCUUCCCCAGAAAAAUAUGGAAAACCAGGCUGAUAUUAUUGAAAGCCAGCAAAAUAAAACAAGAUCUGAAAGCAGAAAGUUUGUUCAGCUAAUGAUGUGCACAUUUCAAUUCUCAUUCUAUCAAAAGUCUCUUCCAGUAAAGUCAUUUCACCACAGACUUUCUCGUAUUAAUACUUGAAGGACUCACGGAUGUAAGCUGUUGUAGCUAUAUCCAGAAUGAAAUUUUUAUUCUGCCAUUUUUUUUCUUUUAAUAGCUCUAAGCUUCUGUAAAUGAAUGCGUUUUUGUAAUGAAUUGUUCCAUUCUUUAUUUGAUCCUAAAACUGUUUUGAAGGAUUCAUCUGUUGCAGCUGACAGUUAUGGGUUUGCAAUACAUACACAGUAAACUGAGGGAGUCCAGAGACAUCAGCUAAAGAGUGCUAGGUAGAUGACCAAGGCUUCUAAGUUUGUAUGUUUUGUUGGCGCAACUUUCAUGUUCUGCAAAUGCAAGAGUGUCAUUAAGCAUUCUGCGGUAUCAUUGAUAAGUGGUGUGUAUAAGCCAGUUUGUUUUCCAAACAGUAAUUGAUUCAUAUAAUUUGUGUAUGCUUGUAGCAAUACUGCCAAAUUCCCAUUUAUAUAACUAAAACUAGCUUAUUCUGAUACUGAGAUGUUGACUGUUCUUAAUGUGGUUGCCAGUGGGUGACAGGAGCUUGGCAGGGAAGCCUGAUGGAUUUGGAUGCCUGAGGGAAAACUAGGGAAAUCACAGUGCACCGCUUUUCUCGCCGGUGGGAAAUGUUCAUGCUGUCUCCACUGGUGUUUCCCACCCCAUGCUGCCACUACCUUUUGUGCUUUGAAAACGUAUCUGUAUCUUGAGAUGUCUUGGGAACUAUAUGGUACCGAAAACAGCUUGCGAACUCUUCUUUGGUAAUUGGGAAAUGGAAAUCUUGCAGUUUUGUCCAAAAUUUCUUUGCUGUUCUUUUUCAUAGGCCUGCAAGGAUAUAUGCAACAGAAAAAAUGGAUAACACAUUAUAAAAAUGCUAUUUUUUAAAGUUUUGUGUUCAUGCCAUAUUUUUCACUUCAGCAGGAGUUCAAACAUCCAGAUCUUAUCUGUCGCAAAAUUAUAACAUCUACACCCGGAAUUUCUACAAAUGUUGGUAUGGUUGAUCUAAUUAUUGAGAUUAUUGUCAAAGAAUAUGUUUCUUAAGAAAUUCUGGGCCUCAGGAAAGAGUAUUUCUUUCUCUUGUACAAAUUUAAUAACAGGAAUAAUAAUAGUAUUUAAUAAGUGGGAAGAAAUCUACAGAAACAUUCACUGACAUUAUCCAGUUAGCAAUACAGGAUGUAUAACAAUCUGAUUCAUUGCAUUAUAUAUUGUUUCUCCUUCUCUUUUUUUUUCAAGAGAAUGAUUGAGAUGUUACUGGAGAAUGUUAGGAGCUGAGGAAUUUGAAGUUAGCUGUGUGCUAAAACUGGAGAAUGUGUCUCUCAAGAGUGAAAGUCCUUCCUGUCAACUUUCUAAGCUGAUGAACAGAGAAGUGUGGCAUGGAGCGUAGUGUGUAAACUUUUUGUUUGUUGGGCAACGUGCAUUAAUUCUAAACCCGAGGAUGAUCUAAGGCAUCCCUUUCUGCUUCAGUUGCAGAUUGAAUACUGGUAAAGCCUUGCAAUAUGUAAAACUUCUUACAGGCAUCAUCCCAAGUGCCUUGUGGAAAAAAUUGAAUGUGUAAUUAUGCAGUUUCACUGGAGACUGUUUCUGUGUUUUAUAUUCUUGUUGCCUGUUCAAAAUAAUGCAAAAAUUUAAAUAAUUCUAAAAGGAAUUGUCUGAGCGGAAAAAAAAAAAAAGAUUAAAUGUAGGUAUUACUAUAUGAGAGAAAUAUUUUUCUAUUUUUAUAUUCAUUUAUUUAUACUCAUGUUUGAGUUACAGCGUACUGAACAGAAAUACGUGAAUGUCAAGACCUGCUGCCUUCAUCUCAGACUUUUCAUUCAUAACCACACUUGCAGUCUCUGAUGACAAAAUUCACUUCAGGAUGGGCAUUUCCAAGGUGUCUCCCUCCAUGAAUCCACACUUGUGACUACUCCUGAUGCUAGAACUGCGUGCCAGCAGUUGCUGGGCCCAUGUCUUAAACACAUCCAGACGUGGAUACUCAAGAAGGUUGCAUACAUCAGCUUAUGGAGCUGCGAGUCUCACUGAAAUGCGUCACGCAUAAUUGGAGGACUGAAAACUGAAGGAUCCUGAAAUUAAGGAGACCACUCUGCAGGCUUGUUGAUUGAAGCGAUUUUCACCAUUCUGUCCCUAAACCAGUGCUUACUGAUAUGUUGCAAAGAGUAUCCUGUUGUACAACUGUGGCCUGUAUCUCUCUUAGACACAGGAAGUUAUCUAUCUGGAUUGGGGCACAGAUUUACACAUUUCAUCGUCUUGGAGACUUAGUGGAGCUGACAGUAAGUUUUCUUUUCGAUGAGCCAUCUUGAGAUGGCAUCAUCUUCAUCGUUCCUAAUCCUUCAGUUGAUUGAUACGGCAGAUUAAAGAUGUUGUGGUAAUGGUUUGCUAUUCCUAAGUGGAUUUAGAGUGGAGCUGUUUGCUUAUUUAUAGAGAUAUUCAUCAGGACCAGAGAGUCAUAUUGUAUUAGGUUUGACAAGGAGAACUGUUGCCACAUACAGAUCCUCACGUAGAGCUGGUCUUCAAUGCCGCUUUGUUCAUAGAGGUAAGUAUGUGAGCAUUAUGUAUUCUUUAUCUUAAUACUGCAGCAUGCAUGGCUGGUAGGAGUAAUAAACAACUGCAUUGUUUAAAGCCAGGGUGUAGUCACAGACCUUCCGUAUCCAAAACCUAAUACAAAUGCCAGCUUCCAGCAAAGAGAAACUUAAUCUUUUCCUGAACCCUAAAUGUACAGAUAGUGAAGUGGUGUGAGAUUUGAAGGCUGUUGAGCAAUUAAAGGUGGGGUCUUUAUUGAAAUCACACAUGUGCCUUCAGUUCUCCGUGGCAUGCUGAGAAAUACAGUAAGGUACUUCUAAAGGAGCAUAGCUUCAUUUUUCUUUGUACCAGGCUCUACAUGUUACCAAAUUUUAUAUUAUUAUGAGCUGUCUUGAUGGGAGUAAGAAUAAAGUUCAUGCCAGAUGUUAAGGUCACUUAGAUUCCUUUCUGCUGCCUUUGUAAUGCAGCAUCAGUCAGAUAUGGUGAUAAAUCACUGGUAACUUUUAAAUUAUUUUUUUUUUUUUUACUUCUGCAUGAUGACACAGGACUUAUUUUUUGAGCACUUUCUUAAAGAAAGAACUUGUCCUUACAACAGACAGAAACAUAGAUACUUACUGUAUGUUUACAUGAAAGUUCUUUUCUGGUAGUGAUAAUAAUUGAUCAUGUUGAAUUCAGUAAAAUACUGUAUUUUUCUGUGGAAUAAAUGUAUGUGAAAUAGUGAAAUCUUCAAUGGGCAAGCUUUUUUUUUUCAGGGUUGUUAGAUUUUCUUUUUUUUUCCACUUGUGGAAAACUUGGGAAGAACUACCAUCAAAAAGGAGCGAUUGUACAUAAUCAUUUUAUUUAAACUUUGACCUUCCUGGCUUUAUGUACAUAGAAAUGUAGGAGUGUUUUUAUUCGAAGACACGUACUUAGCACAGUUUGAUGAUAAUAAUGGUGAAAUUGGUCUACUGGUUUUAAACUACGUACCUUGACAUUGUGAUAUUUGUGAAUUUAAUAAAUAGUAAUGCAACCAUAA